UACGUAGGGAGCAAGCGUUGUUCGGAUUUACUGGGCGUAAAGGGCGCGUAGGCGGCGCGGUAAGUCACUUGUGAAAUCUCUGAGCUUAACUCAGAACGGCCAAGUGAUACUGCAGUGCUAGAGUGCAGAAGGGGCAAUCGGAAUUCUCGGUGUAGCGGUGAAAUGCGUAGAUAUCGAGAGGAACACCUGCGGCGAAGGCGGGUUGCUGGGCCGACACUGACGCUGAUGCGCGAAAGCGUGGGGAGCGAACAGG
rnacentral:rRNA from 1 species